rnacentral:rRNA from 1 species
AGGACGAACGCUGGCGGCGUGCUUAACACAUGCAAGUCGAACGAGGCGCUUGCGCCUAGUGGCGAACGGGUGAGUAACACGUGAGCAACCUGCCCUUGGCUCUGGGAUAGCCUCCGGAAACGGGGAUUAAUACCGGACAUGACCUUCUCCUGCAUGGGGGAGGGUGGAAAGUUUUUCGGCCAGGGAGGGCUCGCGGCCUAUCAGCUUGUUGGGGGGGUAACGCCCACCAAGGCGACGACGGGUAGCCGGCCUGAGAGGGCGACCGGCCACACUGGGACUGAGACACGGCCCAGACUCCUACGGGAGGCAGCAGUGGGGAAUAUUGCACAAUGGGGGAAACCCUGAUGCAGCGACGCCGCGUGCGGGAUGAAGGCCUUCGGGUUGUAAACCGCUUUCAGCAGGGGCGAAUUCAGACGGUACCUGCAGAAGAAGCGCCGGCUAACUACGUGCCAGCAGCCGC